rnacentral:rRNA from 1 species
AUUGAACGCUGGCGGCAGGCCUAACACAUGCAAGUCGAACGAGUGGCGGACGGGUGAGUAAUGUCUGGGAAACUGCCUGAUGGAGGGGGAUAACUACUGGAAACGGUAGCUAAUACCGCAUACCAUCAGAUGUUCCCAGAUGGGAGUAGCUAGUUGGUGGGGUAACGGCUCACCAAGGCGACGAUCCCUAGCUGGUCUGAGAGGAUGACCAGCCACACUGGAACUGAGACACGGUCCAGACUCCGACGGGAGGCAGCAGUGGGGAAUAUUGCACAAUGGGCGCAAGCCUGAUGCAGCCAUGCCGCGUGUAUGAAGAAGGCCUUAGGGUUGUAAAGUACUUUCAGCGGGGAGGCGUUACUCGCAGAAGAAGCACCGGCUAACUCCGUGCCAGCAGCCGCGGUAAUUC